rnacentral:rRNA from 1 species
CAGUAGCCGCGGUAAUACGUAGGGUGCAAGCGUUAAUCGGAAUUACUGGGCGUAAAGCGCACGUAGGCGGAUAUUUAAGUCAGGGGUGAAAUCCCAGAGCUCAACUCUGGAACUGCCUUUGAUACUGGGUAUCUUGAGUAUGGAAAAGGUGAGUGGAAUUCCGAGUGUAGAGGUGAAAUUCGUAGAUAUUCGGAGGAACACCAGUGGCGAAGGCGGCUCACUGGUCCAUUACUGACGCUGAGGUGCGAAAGCGUGGGGAGCAAACAGGAUUAGAUACCCGCGUAGUCCCUGUCUCUUAUAA